rnacentral:rRNA from 1 species
CGGGACACGUGGUAUCCUGUCUGAAUAUGGGGGGACCAUCCUCCAAGGCUAAAUACUCCUGACUGACCGAUAGUGAACCAGUACCGUGAGGGAAAGGCGAAAAGAACCCCGGCGAGGGGAGUGAAAAAGAACCUGAAACCGUGUACGUACAAGCAGUGGGAGCACGCUUAGGCGUGUGACUGCGUACCUUUUGUAUAAUGGGUCAGCGACUUAUAUUCUGUAGCAAGGUUAACCGAAUAGGGGAGCCGAAGGGAAACCGAGUCUUAACUGGGCGUUAAGUUGCAGGGUAUAGACCCGAAACCCGGUGAUCUAGCCAUGGGCAGGUUGAAGGUUGGGUAACACUAACUGGAGGACCGAACCGACUAAUGUUGAAAAAUUAGCGGAUGACUUGUGGCUGGGGGUGAAAGGCCAAUCAAACCGGGAGAUAGCUGGUUCUCCCCGAAAGCUAUUUAGGUAGCGCCUCGUGAAUUCAUCUCCGGGGGUAGAGCACUGUUUCGGCAAGGGGGUCAUCCCGACUUACCAACCCGAUGCAAACUGCGAAUACCGGAGAAUGUUAUCACGGGAGACACACGGCGGGUGCUAACGUCCGUCGUGAAGAGGGAAACAACCCAGACCGCCAGCUAAGGUCCCAAAGUCAUGGUUAAGUGGGAAACGAUGUGGGAAGGCCCAGACAGCCAGGAUGUUGGCUUAGAAGCAGCCAUCAUUUAAAGAAAGCGUAAUAGCUCACUGGUCGAGUCGGCCUGCGCGGAAGAUGUAACGGGGCUAAACCAUGCACCGAAGCUGCGGCAGCGACGCUGAUGCGUUGUUGGGUAGGGGAGCGUUCUGUAAGCCUGCGAAGGUGUGCUGUGAGGCAUGCUGGAGGUAUCAGAAGUGCGAAUGCUGACAUAAGUAACGAUAAAGCGGGUGAAAAGCCCGCUCGCCGGAAGACCAAGGGUUCCUGUCCAACGUUAAUCGGGGCAGGGUGAGUCGACCCCUAAGGCGAGGCCGAAAGGCGUAGUCGAUGGGAAACAGGUUAAUAUUCCUGUACUUGGUGUUACUGCGAAGGGGGGACGGAGAAGGCUAUGUUGGCCGGGCGACGGUUGUCCCGGUUUAAGCGUGUAGGCUGGUUUUCCAGGCAAAUCCGGAAAAUCAAGGCUGAGGCGUGAUGACGAGGCACUACGGUGCUGAAGCAACAAAUGCCCUGCUUCCAGGAAAAGCCUCUAAGCAUCAGGUAACAUCAAAUCGUACCCCAAACCGACACAGGUGGUCAGGUAGAGAAUACCAAGGCGCUUGAGAGAACUCGGGUGAAGGAACUAGGCAAAAUGGUGCCGUAACUUCGGGAGAAGGCACGCUGAUAUGUAGGUGAAGUCCCUCGCGGAUGGAGCUGAAAUCAGUCGAAGAUACCAGCUGGCUGCAACUGUUUAUUAAAAACACAGCACUGUGCAAACACGAAAGUGGACGUAUACGGUGUGACGCCUGCCCGGUGCCGGAAGGUUAAUUGAUGGGGUCAGCGCAAGCGAAGCUCUUGAUCGAAGCCCCGGUAAACGGCGGCCGUAACUAUAACGGUCCUAAGGUAGCGAAAUUCCUUGUCGGGUAAGUUCCGACCUGCACGAAUGGCGUAAUGAUGGCCAGGCUGUCUCCACCCGAGACUCAGUGAAAUUGAACUCGCUGUGAAGAUGCAGUGUACCCGCGGCAAGACGGAAAGACCCCGUGAACCUUUACUAUAGCUUGACACUGAACAUUGAGCCUUGAUGUGUAGGAUAGGUGGGAGGCUUUGAAGUGUGGACGCCAGUCUGCAUGGAGCCGACCUUGAAAUACCACCCUUUAAUGUUUGAUGUUCUAACGUUGACCCGUGAUCCGGGUUGCGGACAGUGUCUGGUGGGUAGUUUGACUGGGGCGGUCUCCUCCUAAAGAGUAACGGAGGAGCACGAAGGUUGGCUAAUCCUGGUCGGACAUCAGGAGGUUAGUGCAAUGGCAUAAGCCAGCUUGACUGCGAGCGUGACGGCGCGAGCAGGUGCGAAAGCAGGUCAUAGUGAUCCGGUGGUUCUGAAUGGAAGGGCCAUCGCUCAACGGAUAAAAGGUACUCCGGGGAUAACAGGCUGAUACCGCCCAAGAGUUCAUAUCGACGGCGGUGUUUGGCACCUCGAUGUCGGCUCAUCACAUCCUGGGGCUGAAGUAGGUCCCAAGGGUAUGGCUGUUCGCCAUUUAAAGUGGUACGCGAGCUGGGUUUAGAACGUCGUGAGACAGUUCGGUCCCUA